rnacentral:rRNA from 1 species
GACGAACGCUGGCGGCGUGCUUAACACAUGCAAGUCGAACGGAAAGGCCCGGCUUUUGUGUGGUGCUCGAGUGGCGAACGGGUGAGUAAAACGUGAGUAACCUGCCCUUGAAUUUGGGAUAACUCCAGGAAACUGGGGAGCAUAUCGGAUAGGAGCUUCUGAUGCAUGGGGGGGGUAGGAAAGUUUCGGCGGUGGGGGCUGGUCUGGCGGCUUAUGAGCUGCUUGGGGGGGUAGGGGCGGACCAAGUCUUUGACGGGUAGCCGGCCUGGGAGGGUGGCCGGCCACCUUGGGCCUACGGUACGGCCCAGACUCCUACGGGAGGCAGCAGGGGGGAGUAUUGCACAGUGGGCGGGAGCCUGAUGCGGCAGCCCCCCGUGCGUGAUGCCGUCCUUCGGGUUGUAAACCGCUUUCGCCUGUGACGAAGCGUUCGUGACGGUAAUGGAUCAAGAAGCACCGGCUAACUACGUG